CCAAGAAGUAUUAGAUGUGGCUGAUCGUCAAGACAGUGAUAAGCGCCGUACAACUAACGGCAGGCCUCAAGAGACGAUUAACGUUAACCUGCGUGCGUAACCUUGUGGAAAAACUUAUUGUUGCCAACGCCUUUUGUUGUAAACGAAUGUUGUAAACAAAAGUGUAGUGGUAAACAAAAGUACUAAAAAAGUGUCUUACGGAGCAUGUGAGCAAUGAAAUUACCCAUUUAUUUGGACUAUUC
rnacentral:sRNA from 1 species